GACAGAGGGUUCAACCGUUGUUCGGAUUUACUGGGCGUAAAGCGCGUGUAGGCGGCUUUGCAAGUCGGAUGUGAAAGCCCACGGCUCAACCGUGGAAGUGCAUCCGAAACUGCAUGGCUUGAGUCUCGGAGAGGAAGGUGGAAUGCUUGGUGUAGAGGUGAAAUUCGUAGAUAUCAAGCAGAACACCUGCGGCGAAGGCGGCCUUCUGGACGAUGACUGACGCUGAGACGCGAAAGCGUGGGGAGCAAACAGG
rnacentral:rRNA from 1 species